AGAGUUUGAUCCUGGCUCAGGAUGAACGCUGGCGGCGUGCUUAACACAUGCAAGUCGAGCGAAGCACUUAAGUUUGAUUCUUCGGAUGAAGACUUUUGUGACUGAGCGGCGGACGGGUGAGUAACGCGUGGGUAACCUGCCUCAUACAGGGGGAUAACAGUUAGAAAUGACUGCUAAUACCGCAUAAGACCACAGGAUCGCAUGAUCCGGUGGUAAAAACUCCGGUGGUAUGAGAUGGACCCGCGUCUGAUUAGCUAGUUGGUGGGGUAACGGCUCACCAAGGCGACGAUCAGUAGCCGACCUGAGAGGGUGACCGGCCACAUUGGGACUGAGACACGGCCCAAACUCCUACGGGAGGCAGCAGUGGGGAAUAUUGCACAAUGGGCGAAAGCCUGAUGCAGCGACGCCGCGUGAAGGAUGAAGUAUUUCGGUAUGUAAACUUCUAUCAGCAGGGAAGAAAAUGACGGUACCUGACUAAGAAGCCCCGGCUAACUACGUGCCAGCAGCCGCGGUAAUACGUAGGGGGCAAGCGUUAUCCGGAUUUACUGGGUGUAAAGGGAGCGUAGACGGCAUGGCAAGUCUGAAGUGAAAGCCCGGGGCUCAACCCCGGGACUGCUUUGGAAACUGUCAGGCUAGAGUGCUGGAGAGGUAAGUGGAAUUCCUAGUGUAGCGGUGAAAUGCGUAGAUAUUAGGAGGAACACCAGUGGCGAAGGCGGCUUACUGGACAGUAACUGACGUUGAGGCUCGAAAGCGUGGGGAGCAAACAGGAAUAGAUACCCUGGUAGUCCACGCCGUAAACG
rnacentral:rRNA from 1 species